rnacentral:rRNA from 1 species
UAGGGAAUAUUGGGAAAUGGGCGAAAGCCCGACCCAGCAACGCCGCGUGCGCGAAGAAGGCCUUCGGGUUGUAAAGCGCUUUUCAGAGGGAUGAGGAAGGACAGUACCUUUGGAAUAAGUCUCGGCUAACUACGUGCCAGCAGCCGCGGUAACACGUAGGAGACGAGCGUUAUCCGGAUUUACUGGGUGUAAAGCGCGUGUAGGACGGCUGGGUAAGUUGGAUGUGAAAGCUCCUGGCUUAACUGGGAGAGGUCGUUCAAGACUGCCUGGCUCGAGUGCAGCAGAGGGGAGUGGAAUUCCGAGUGGUAGCGGUAAAAUGCAUAGAUAUUCGGAAAGAGCACCAGUGGCGAAGGCGGCUCUCUGGCUGCAACUGACGCUCAGACGCGAAAGCUAGGGUAGCGAACGGGAUUAGAGACCCCCGGUAGUCCUAGCCGUAAAACGAUGUGGACUUGGCGUAGCGGGUUGAAAUCCAUCUGUGCCGAA